UACGAAGGGGGCUAGCGUUGUUCGGAUUUACUGGGCGUAAAGCGCACGUAGGCGGCUUGUCACGUCUGCUGUGAAAUCCCGGGGCUCAACCCCGGGCGUGCAGUGGAUACGGGCUGGCUAGAGGCAGGCAGGGGAGAACGGAAUUCCCGGUGUAGCGGUGAAAUGCGCAGAUAUCGGGAGGAACACCGGUGGCGAAGGCGGUUCUCUGGGCCUGUACUGACGCUGAGGAGCGAAAGCGUGGGGAGCGAACAGG
rnacentral:rRNA from 1 species